UUACUUACCUGAUAGGGAAGACAUGAUAAUGGUGGUGGUUUUCUUGGGGUGAAGCUCACCCAUUGCACUGGGGAUGUGCUGACUGACCCCUAUGCUUUCCACGAGUGUGGAAACUUGGGUGCAUAAUUUGUGUUAGUAGAGGACUGUAUUCACAUUCUCCUCUA